AUUGAACGCUGGCGGCAGGCCUAACACAUGCAAGUCGAGCGAGCGGCGGACGGGUGAGUAAUGUAUGGGGAACUGCCCGAUAGAGGGGGAUAACUACUGGAAACGGUAGCUAAUACCGCAUACUAUCAGAUGAACCCAUAUGGGAUUAGCUAGUAGGUGGGGUAAAGGCUCACCUAGGCGACGAUCCCUAGCUGGUCUGAGAGGAUGACCAGCCACACUGGAACUGAGACACGGUCCAGACUCCUACGGGAGGCAGCAGUGGGGAAUAUUGCACAAUGGGCGCAAGCCUGAUGCAGCCAUGCCGCGUGUAUGAAGAAGGCCUUAGGGUUGUAAAGCACUUUCAGCGAGGAGGCGUUACUCGCAGAAGAAGCACCGGCUAACUCCGUGCCAGCAGCCGCGGUAAUUC
rnacentral:rRNA from 1 species